ensembl:lncRNA
CUUCAUUUUCUAAUCCCUGAUGCGGAGAUGUUGAGCAUCUUUUCAUAUGUCUAUUAGCCAUCUGUAUCUCUUCCUUGCAGAAAUGUCUAUUCAGUGCUUUGCCCCAUUUUAAAAUCGGGUUUUGGGUGUUUCUCCCAAUACAUUCUAUGAGUCGUUUAGCUAUUUUGGACAUCUACCUCUUUUCGGAUGUGUGUCACUUGCUCAUAUCUUCUCCCACUCAGCAGGUUGCCUUUUUCUUUUGUUGAUGGUUUCCCUUGAUGUGUAAAAGCUUUUUCGUUUGAUGAACUCCCAUUUGUUUAUUUUUGCUUUCGUUGCUCUUGCCUGAGGAGACAUGCCAAAAAAACUAUUGCUAAGACCUAUGUCAACGAGCACACUGCCUACGUCUUCUUCUAGGAGCUUUAUGGCUUAAGGUCUAAAAAUUUCGUCUUUAAUCUUCUGUUGUUGUUUAUUUUUGAAUGCUGUGUAAGAAAGGGGUCCAGUUUUCCAUAACCAUUUAUUGAAGAGACAGCAUUUUCCCUGGAUGUUCUCGGCUCCUUUGUCAUAGACUAAUAGGCCAUAUGAGCGCAGGUUUAUUUCUGACAGAGCAUCUCCAACUGUACCAUCCGUAAAGUCUGGGGUGAAGUAUGAAGACCCAGUGACUUCCGUGUCCGUCCACAGCUGGUGGCACACCAAGUCUGGAUAAGUUACAGAGUAGGAGCCAGAAUCGUGUGAUGGGCAGAGAUGUCCAGCAUGUCAAAUUCUAGGCGAGAGACCAAGGCAUAGGAACCACAAGCCAAAGAAUCCUAGAUGGGAGUUGGCUUAAAUGCAGUGGCCAAAUAACAAAUCUGAAUGUACCUGUAGCAAGCAACGAUGCUGAACCAUUCAUUUAAAGACCUUCCCACAAAGGGAAGCCCUGGGCCUCCUGGCUUCAUCAGUGAAAUCUAUCAAAAGUUUAAAGAAGAAAUAGCACCCAUCCUUCACAGAUUCUUCCUGAAUAGACAGGAGGGAGGAGGGAACGUUUCCUAAUUCAUCCUAUAAGCCCAGUAUUACCCCAGUACCAAAGCCAGACUUGCCAUUACCAGAAAGCUACAGAUCCAUAACUGUCAUGAAUAGCGAUGCAUACACCCUCAACACUGUAUCUGCAAACCAAAUCGAGAAAUAUUUUGCAAAGGGCUGUGUGAGAUCUUUCCCAGGAUUGCAGUAUUGGACCAACGCUCACCUUCAGUUAUGGGAAACGGCGUAUUGAUAUAAUGAAGGACAGAAACCACCUGUCAUCUUGACAGACAAAAAGCAUUUGACACAGUUCAAGACCUGUUCAUGACAAAUAAGUAAAUAACUAAAUCAAUAAACAUGGUCAACCAACUCAGGAUAGAAGGGAUCGUCGCGGUGGUGCUGAAGAACAUCCCCAAGAAAUAUCCAGCUCUCGUCACAUCACAUCUAGUAGAGUCUGAGUGCGUGCUUGCCUCUUGAGAUCCAGACCAAGGAUAGGAGGUCUGCUUCAACC